ensembl:lncRNA
GUGAGAGGCUGAUCUCUGAUAGACUUCUGACAUAGGAAAAACAGAGAUACACAUUAGACCUUCUGAAAAAGGAGAAAUCAAAUCACCUGGAGUAACGUUAGCAUUUUUUUCACUUGUUUUCUAUAGACAGUAAGCGCUUUGCUGGCUGGUAUGCGCCCCGCGCGCUUCGCGUUUUGGCACGACCUGCCAUCAUCCAGGCAAGGCUGCUGGGCCAGCUGGUGUUAACUAACGUUACUCCAGGUGAUUUGAUUUCUCCUUUUUCAGAAGGUCUAAUGUGUAUCUCUGUUUUUCCUAUGUCAGAAGUCUAUCAGAGAUCAGCCUCUCACCCUCAAUAACAGCCGGAGCAAGUGUCCCUUGAUUUCUUGAAGACUCUCUAGCACUGCUACCUCAACUUCGACAUCCAUAUCAGCACUGAUCUGAACUAAAUCCUCCAUUACUCUGCACAAACGAAACUGGAGAUAGUCAUUGGACGCAUUGUUCUCACAAUCCUGCGCUAAUGAUCUUAAAUCGUUAGCAAUUGCUUGAACAAAAGUCUCCAUCCAGGCUACAUGAAACUGAAAACAGCCUCUAUUAACUCAAGCAGCAUUACCGAGUACCAGCGAAAUCAAGGCAGUAGUAGUAGAUUCGAUCACAUCGCUCUAACCAAUCCUUCUUCAGACUGAUGUUGGCACCCCCC